UCUUGGUCAUUUAGUGGAAGUAAAAGUCGUAACAAGGUUUCCGUAGGUGAACCUGCGGAAGGAUCAUUAUAGUAAAAACCGAGGUGCAACAAGGGCUGUCGCUGACCUUCGAAAGGGGUCGUGCACGCCCCCAAGCCCUCUCAAAAUCCAUCUCUCACCCCUUUGUGCAUCACCGCGUGGGUCCUCCUUUGCCGGGAGGGCUCGCGUUUUCAAACAUAAAAACUCAAUAAAGUGUAGAAUGUUCAUUUUUGCGGUCACACGCAAUCAAUACAACUUUCAACAACGGAUCUCUUGGCUCUCGCAUCGAUGAAGAACGCAGCGAAAUGCGAUACGUAAUGUGAAUUGCAGAAUUCAGUGAAUCAUCGAAUCUUUGAACGCACCUUGCGCCCCUUGGCAUUCCGAGGGGCACACCCGUUUGAGUGUCGUGAAAUCUUCAAAACCCCUCUUCUAUUAUGAAAAGGUUUUUUGGACUUGGAGGUUUAAUGCUCGCCUUUUGCAUUCAAAAGCGAGCUCCUCUCAAAAAAAUCAGUGGGGUCUGCUUUGCUGGUCCUCGACGUGAUAAGAUGUUUCUACGUUUUGGAUUUGGCAUAGUCCCUUGGAUGCCCCCGCUCCUAAUCGUCUUGUGGACAAAACGAUGGUGCUUCGGUCACCGCCAUUUAACAUCGGCGGGAGGCUGGACCCACAAAAGAUAUAAACGAUCUGACCUCAAAUCGGGUGAGACUACCCGCUGAACUUAAGCAUAUCAAUAAGCGGAGGAAAAGAAACUAACAAGGAUUCCCCUAGUAACUGCGAGUGAAGCGGGAAAAGCUCAAAUUUAAAAUCUGGUGGUCUUUGGCCAUCCGAGUUGUAAUUUAGAGAAGCGUCUUCCGCGCUGGACCGUGCACAAGUCUCCUGGAACGGAGCCUCAUAGAGGGUGAGAAUCCCGUCUUUGGCAC
rnacentral:sRNA from 1 species